rnacentral:rRNA from 1 species
CAGUCGCCACGGUAAUACGUAGGGUGCGAGCGUUAAUCGGAAUUACUGGGCGUAAAGCGUGCGCAGGCGGUUAUAUAAGACAGAUGUGAAAUCCCCGGGCUCAACCUGGGACCUGCAUUUGUGACUGUAUAGCUAGAGUACGGUAGAGGGGGAUGGAAUUCCGCGUGUAGCAGUGAAGUGCGUAGAUAUGCGGAGGAACACCGAUGGCGAAGGCAAUCCCCUGGACCUGUACUGACGCUCAUGCACGAAAGCGUGGGGAGCAAACAGGAUUAGAUACCCCUGUAGUCCCUGUCUCUUAUAC